rnacentral:rRNA from 1 species
ACGGGAGGCAGCAGCUAGGAAUAUUCCGCAAUGGACGAAAGUCUGACGGAGCGACGCCGCGUGGAUGAUGAAGGCCGGAAGGUUGUAAAAUCCUUUUAUGACUGAGGAAUAAGUAUGGUGAGAGAAACGCCAUAUGGUGACUGUAGGUCAUGAAUAAGCAACGGCUAAUUACGUGCCAGCAGCCGCGGUAACACGUAAGUUGCGAGCGUUGUUCGAAAUUAUUGGGCGUAAAGGGCAUGUAGGCGGUUUUGCAAGCUUGGUGUGAAAUCCCGGAGCUUAACUCCGGAAUUGCGUUGAGAACUGCAUAACUAGAGUCACUGAGGGGCAAUCAGAAUUCCAGGUGUAGGGGUGAAAUCUGUAGAUAUCUGGAAGAAUACCAACGGCGAAGGCAGGUUACCAGCAGAUGACUGACGCUGAGGUGCGAAGGUGCGGGGAGCAAACAGGAUUAGAUACCCUGGUA